CUUGCAAACAUUUCCUUGUUAACCAGAGAAUUAAAUGAAGUAAUUAUAGGCUAAGAGUACUCAUAUCAGUCUAUCACUUUAGCCUAUUUCUCGAACAGCUAUACCAAUCUGUAGAGGUUUCGAAUGGUCUGGGUAAACGUGCCAUGGGCAACCUAGGACCCUUGUUAAACUGUAAGUGGUUUAACAGUGAUUCAAGAGAUACAGACAGGAUACUUCAG